CUGAGAGUCAUGGACACGGAUGCCCUUUGUUUACUAACAGAGCAGGUAAAACGAAGGCAGUAGCAGUGCAUGCUUCCCCCACAGUGUGAUAAGAAAUAUGCUUCAAGCCCAGUUUGGUUGGAUCAUCUGUAAGGUUGAAAGGUGAGUUCAGCCUUCGUGUCCAUGAUGCCUCUGAGACUUGCCUUG
rnacentral:sRNA from 1 species